GUUUUAUAACGGAUAUUGAUGUUAUGCUAAUCAGUAGCUCUUUGCCAUACCCGCUCCUUCACGGCUCCAGGCACUGCUUGUUGUGAGUGUGAGCCACUGUAAAUUAGGGGCAGAGGGCACUUGCACUGCGGUAAAGAUGGGGCUGGGCAGGAGGAGAGUGCAGUGCAAUCAGUGCACUCCCCUCCUGUGGGUCACCAGUAGACUGGUGCACCUGCCCAGGAUCAGAGCCGG